rnacentral:tRNA from 1 species
GCCAAUAUAGCUCAGUCGGUAGAGCAGCAGUCUCGUAAACUGCAGGUCAAGGGUUCGAUUCCCUUUAUUGGCUCCA